rnacentral:rRNA from 1 species
AACGAACGCUGGCGGCAUGCCUAACACAUGCAAGUCGAACGAGACCUUCGGGUCUAGUGGCGCACGGGUGCGUAACGCGUGGGAACCUGCCCUUAGGUUCGGAAUAACUCCCCGAAAGGGGUGCUAAUACCGGAUAAUGUCUUCGGACCAAAGAUUUAUCGCCUUUGGAUGGGCCCGCGUUGGAGUAGCUAGUUGGUAGGGUAAAAGCCUACCAAGGCGACGAUCCAUAGCUGGUCUGAGAGGAGGAUCAGCCACGCUGGGACUGAGACACGGCCCAGACUCCUACGGGCGGCCGCAGUGGGGACUAUUGGACAAUGGGCGAGAGCCUGAUCCAGCAAUGCCGCGUGAGUGAUGAAGGCCUUAGGGUUGUAAAGCUCUUUUACCCGGGAUGAUAAUGCCAGUACCGGCAGAAUAAGUUCCGGCUAACUCCGUG